rnacentral:rRNA from 1 species
CGAAAGCCUGACGGAGCAAGACCGCGUGAGGGAGGAAGGCCCUUGGGUUGUAAACCUCCUUUCUCAGGGAAGAAGAUCUGACGGUACCUGAGGAAUAAGCAUCGGCUAACUCCGUGCCAGCAGCCGCGGUAAGACGGAGGAUGCAAGCGUUAUCCGGAAUUAUUGGGCGUAAAGCGUCCGCAGGGGGCGCAUCAAGUCUGCUGUUAAAGGUCGGAGCUAAACUCCGGUAGAGCGGUGGAAACUGGUGCGCUAGAGGGCGACAGGGGUAGAGGGAAUUCCCAGUGUAGCGGUGAAAUGCGUAGAGAUUGGGAAGAACACCGGUGGCGAAAGCGCUCUACUGGGUCGCACCUGACCCUCAGGGACGAAAGCUAAGGGAGCG